rnacentral:lncRNA from 1 species
UAUAUGAGAAUAUGGAAUAUAUACCUGGCUUUCUGUCUUGCCAUAUGUGGUCUUUCAUAUGCAGUCAUAUAUCAUAUGUGGUAUUCCAUCCCUAUAUAUGAUGAUAAAGAAAAUUCUACCACCUAUUAUAUUGGUAGUACCAAGAGAACUUUAAAUAAAAGAAUAAAAGAACACGAGACAGAAUCCAGGCAGGAAGGCUCACCACACCAUUAGCGACCACAGCUUACGAGAAGGACAUAGAUAUCAAAUGGGAUGAAGCACAGAUAAUGAAACCACUGCGUGAUAUUAGAGGGAUUAACACAUUUGAGGCAAUUGAAAUAGAAAAAAAGAAAACACUCCCAGAAAAUAAUCAACACCAAUGAACCAACAAUGCUCCCCCUUGUGGAAGUGUGCACUACUAGAGGAUUAUAGACGGUUAUACCAAAGCCUCUCCUAGCCCUAAACCACGAUAGAGGAACGUAACAUAACAUAAUUUUAUACAAUGAUAUCUGAUGUAGUACUUGAGCAUCUAUAGUACACUGUAAACAACAUCAAAUCCUGCAAGGUAUAAUAUAACUCACUACGCUAUAAACUUAUAGACACCCUAUUUUACAUAUGUAACUAAUUAUGUACUAAUAAAUGUACUAAUAUAUGUACUAAUUAAUAUUAUUUUAUUUUAUACACUUUACUAACACCUUUAUUUGUACUUUUAUUUUUAUAUUUUAUUUUAUAAAUUUCAUUAGUUUAUGCAUUAUAUAUAGUUACGUUUUAAUUUAAUUUAUGCUUUAUAUGAAAGAAAAAUCGCUAAACUGUAUAUUCA